GGCGUGCCUAACACAUGCAAGUCAAGGGGAAGUAGAUUUCGGAUUUACGAGUAUACUGGCGGACGGGUGAGUAACGCGUAGGCAACCUGCCCUUAUGCAAGGGAUAACCCAUCGAAAGGUGGACUAAUACCUUAUACUGCACAUAUAUUGCAUGGUAUAUAUGUUAAAGGUCGCUUUCGGGCGAUCACAUAAGGAUGGGCCUGCGUUCCAUUAGUUAGUUGGUGAGGUAACGGCUCACCAAGGCGACGAUGGAUAGCUGGUUUGAGAGAGUGAUCAGCCACACUGGGACUGAGAUACGGCCCAGACUCCUACGGGAGGCAGCAGUGAGGAAUAUUGCGCAAUGGGCGAAAGCCUGACGCAGCAACGCCGCGUGGGGGAUGAAUCUCUAUGGAGUGUAAACCCCUGUAAGCAGGGACGAAAGGUUUAUGGUCUAACAGGCUGUAGAUUUGACGGUACCUGCAGAGUAAGCUCCGGCUAACUCCGUG
rnacentral:rRNA from 1 species